rnacentral:misc_RNA from 1 species
GGGGACCUUUGGCCAUGUUUAUCUUGGAUUUAACAGUGAUAGCGGGCAAAUGUGUGCAAUUAAAGAGGUCAAAGUCAUCUCGGAUGACUCAAACUCUAGGGAAUCUCUCAAGCAGCUAAGCCAGGAGAUCACUUUGCUUAGCCAGCUCUCGCAUCCAACAUCGUGCAGUACCAUGGCAGCGAGCUGGACGAAGACACUCUUUCCGUG